GCGUCCAUAGCUCAGUUGGUUAGAGCACCACCUUGACAUGGUGGGGGUCGGUGGUUCGAGUCCACUUGGACGCACCA
rnacentral:tRNA from 57 species